UACGGGGGGAGCAAGCGUUGCUCGGAAUUACUGGGCGUAAAGGGCUCGUAGGCGGCCAACUAAGUCAGACGUGAAAUCCCUCGGCUUAACUGGGGAACUGCGUGUGAUACUGGAAGGCUUGAAUCCGGGAGAGGGAUGCGGAAUUCCAGGUGUAGCGGUGAAAUGCGUAGAUAUCUGGAGGAACACCGGUGGCGAAGGCGGCAUCCUGGACCGGCAUUGACGCUGAGGCGCGAAAGCCAGGGGAGCAAACGGG
rnacentral:rRNA from 1 species